rnacentral:rRNA from 1 species
AUGUGGGAGGAAUUCUUGCCCCAUAUUGAAUUUGCUUAUAAUCGUUCAUUGCAUUCUACUACUAAGAUGUGCCCUUUUGAAGUUGUGUAUGGUUUCCUACCUCGUGCACCUAUUGAUUUGUUGCCUCUUCCAUCUUCGGAGAAGGUUAAUUUUGAUGCUAAACAACGUGCUGAAUUGAUUUUAAAAAUGCAUGAGUUAAAUAAGGAAAACAUUGAGCGUAUGAAUGCUAAAUAUAAACUUGCUGGAGAUAAGGGUAGAAAACAUGUUGUGUUUGCACCUGGAGAUCUUGUUUGGUUACAUUUGCGUAAGGAUAGAUUUCCUGAUUUGCGCAAAUCAAAGCUAAUGCCACGUGCUGAUGGUCCCUUUAAGGUGUUAGAGAAAAUAAAUGAUAAUGCAUAUAAACUUGAGCUGCCUGCAGAUUUUGGGGUUAGUCCCACUUUUAACAUUGCAGAUUUGAAGCCUUAUUUGGGUGAGGAAGAUGAACUUCCGUCGAGGACGACUUCAUUUCAAGAAGGGGAGGAUGAUGAGGACAUCAAUACAAUUGUUACACCCACAGCCCCUGCUGCUAUACAUACUGGACCAGUUACUAGAGCUCGUGCACGCCAACUAAAUUACCAGGAAACAGACCCUCGUGGUCAGGUUGAUCGUGCCCCGGCGUGGUCAAUAACCUCUCGGAGUUGGUUUAGCGAUUGCUAA